ACAAGACCUGUUUAUAGUUAAACAUGUGUACCAAAUAAUUAGGAAUUCAGAUGUAUUUUGCUGUAUAUAUACCUCUGUUGCAAUCGAGGAAUUCAGAUUCAAUUUACCUCUAUAAUACUUCAACUCUUCAUGGUAUCAGAGCACAGACAAAAAAAAAAAAUCUUCUCCUUGGUGCUCCUUCUCCAUGGCGACAAAUCAAAAUAUUUUAGGGCUUGCUACCAAUUCAUCUUUUCAAAUCCCCACAAUCAGCAUAAAGCUUGAAACCUCCAACUAUUGUCUAUGUCGUACCACCAUUGUAUCUGCCCUAGAAACCUUUGAUCUUGAAUCAUUUGUUCUUGAUCCCAAACCACCGACUGAAACUCUUACGAUUGAGCGUGCAGAUGCAGCACCCACCAUUGAAGCUAACCCAGAGUACCAAUUGUGGAAGAAAUGUGAUCGUUAUGUACUUCUAUGGCAGAAAUCCACCCUCUAUGAACGUGCCCCGACGAUUAUUGCUCGUUAAACCUCUUCCCAUCUUCCUUGGACUACUCUCAACAAAACUUUCGAAGCCCAAACCAAUGCCACACGUAUAGCUAUGAAGACCCAACUUCAGAAUCUGUCAAAAGGCUCACUACCCAUGAUUGAAUAUCUUGAAAAGAAACGUGUUAUUGUCGAAUCCUUGGUCAAGAACCUUAAUCAGAUUUCUAUAGAAGACCUUAUUGGAUAAAUCCUCAACGGGCUCGAUUCCUCAUAUGGCCCAUUCACUGCGGCGUUUAUGAUGAAAGAUUCUAAUCCUUUAGCUGAUGACCUAAUGGGAUUACUACUUCUAGAAGAAGCAAGACUCGAACAGGACCAUCUUCUCCAAACAAUUGCAAUUUCUUCUUCAUUAAAUACCUCCGCCCCCUUAGCUCUCAAUGUGAAUCGACAUCAGCCCAGGUCAUGAAGCGAUAGACUAUUAGCAAAGGUCCAAUUAGAUUGACUAUCCAUCUCAUUGGCUGAAUCCAAGAACUUGAUAGGCUCCUCAAGUUCAUAUGGCUCAGUGUCACAGUCCAUCCAUAGUUGCUGAUCCGUCAUGGUAUUUCGACUCUGGUGCAACAAAUCAUGUGGAUCCCGAUCUUCAGAAAAUGAAUGUUGCAGAGGAACACCAUGGCACAGACAAACUUCAAGUUUGGAAUGUCAUUGCAGGGCCAAAAACUCCUAAACAGGGACGUCAAUGAUGGCCUUUAUUGUAUUCCUUCUUCAAUCAAUAAAGCACCAAAUAAAUUCAGCCCCUACCAUGGCUUUCACGAGCAUUCACACUUAUCUCCAUGGCUGACACAAACGUUUAGGUCAUCCAUAUGAUCCUCUCCUUAGAAGAUUACUUUCCUCCUUCAAGCUACCAAUAUCAUCCAAUAACUUUCCCAAUGUUUGCAACUCAUGUCAACUGGGGAAGACUCAUCGACUUUAUUUACAUACUUCUCAUGUAGCUUCUAGUAAAGCUCUUGAUUUAAUUUAUUCAAAUGUUUGGGGCCUUUCCCCUUUCUUUUCUAUGAAUGGAAACACUCCUUCAUCUUCUCAAGUAACUUCCCUCCUUCUACAACAAGCUGCUACUUUACCUAUAACAACACUACAUUCCUAACUUCACACACCCACACCUACACAAAAUAUAAGCAACACCCAUCCUCCUCGUCUUCUCUCGCUCCUAGUCCUCAUUAUCAAAACUCUACCAUUAACUCUCCUGCUCGCCAACAACGAUCUACUUCUUCUCAUUAUAGACAUGCUGUGAACAAUCACCACCACAUGGUAACUCGAGGCCUCACUAAUUCUCUUAAGCCAAAAGUCUUUUCAUCUUCUUUAUCCUCAACUCUCACCAUUGAACCCUCGACCUUUAAACAAGUUGUUAAAUCUCCUUGUUGGUAAGAGGCAAUGAAAAAUGAAUUUGAUGCUCUUAUGAGGAAUAGAACCGGGUCACUGGUUCCAUGUUCUACUAAUUUGAAUGUUGUAGGUUGCAAAUGGAUUUAUUGGGUCAAAAGAAAGUCAGAUGACUCUAUUGAGCGAUACAAAGCUUGUUUGGUUACGCAGGGAUAUAGUAAAAAAGAGGGUAUCAAUUACUUUGAUACAUUCAGUCCCGUCAUCAAACCCACAACGAUUUGAUUGAUGUUAUAUAUUGCAAUCUCAAAUAUCAAUGGUGUAUUCGCCAACUAGACAUCAAUAACACAUUUCUUAAUUGUGAUUUACUAGAAGAUGUCUACAUGAGGCAACCAAGAGGCUUUGAAGACUCCACCUAUUCGUCUCAUUUUUUCGCUUGAAUAAGGCGAUUUAUGGCCUUAAACAAGCACCACAAGCCUAGUUCAAUAAGAUCUAAACUUAUCUUAUCCAACAAGGGUUUCAUGAUUGUCAAUCAGAUACACCAUUAUUUGUUCACACAUAAAUCCUAGGAACCCACCAAUACAACUUAAACAAAAAUAAAAUGUAAGGAUCAAAACUCAAGAGGUAACAUAAAGAACUAGAACCAUUAAUUUAACAAUUAACUCCAAAUAGUCACUGAAAUCCGUUGUUUAUCACCAUUUCAAAAUUAGGUGAACAUAAAGAACUAGAACCAUUAAUUUAACACUUCUAUCUCCAAUAAUCUCAAAUGUAAGGAUUUCAAUGGACAAUCCUUAUUUUUCAAUCCUAAACAAAUAGAUGGAUUCAAAGAAUAUAUUGGAUGAUCAUUUGAUGGAAACUGGAAAAGAAAAUCCAACAAUUUCGAUAUCACAAUCUCAAAAUCAAAUUCUCACUCAAUCUCCAAGGGUUUCCUCUUUACUCCUCUCAAGAACACAUGAGAAAUGAAGACUUUGGCAAACUUUGGCAUAAUGUAUGGAUUUAAGGUAUUUUAUUUCAUUUUCCCAUUAAGGUAUAAUAAGCCCAAUCCAUGUUUCUACUAAAAAUCUUCUUCUUGAGUUGACAUUGAUCAGAAAGCCGAGCAUGUGUUGCUAGUUUUCCUCAUGAGCAUUUCUUUCGCUUCAUUGAUUUUCGAAGCAAGAUAGUGGUCGCCGCCAGCGUUUAGGUGGUUUGCCACCAUCACCCUUCUAUGUGCUUCCCUUACCUAAUCAACCUCAAUACUUUGCCUACACAUUUAAACCGUUAAAAACACAUAACUCAUAAUACAAAAAGACAUGGAGAUGAAUGCUAGAUUUGGUAGUGAUAUAAAUAAUGUACCUUACUCCAAGAAUCAGAGCAGCUUCUCUUCUUGUCAUUUGAGGUUGGAAUCCACCUUGAUAAAACUUUCUAAAUGCAACAGGCGAAGCUGGUCUAGCCUUGAAAGCCUGCCAUACUUGGAUGCCAUAUCUUCCAGCAUAAGCAGUAGCUGCAAUUACAAGUCCUGUCAUCAAUGGAGUCGCCUGGUGGAGGAAGAUUUAGUGUUACUAUCAGAUUCCUCAAGAUCAAUGAUUUGUUGAGUUUAGGAUAGUAGAUAUCACAAUUGUCUAUGGCCUUUUAUACGGUAAAAUUUAAGAGUAUACCCAUCAAUUAAAUGCAAGAAAAUGAAAAUCAUCAAUCUGAUCAA